GAGAUAUGAUUCGGGAAUCUUCGGCCGAAGUAUCGAGCGUAAUAAAGGAAAGCGUUCCUAAACGACUCAAUUGGAUCAUAUAAGAAGGAAUAAUCACAUUACGGGUUUGACAUGAUAUAUCCAUACCCUAAUGAUGUGAUUGAGAGUAUUGUAUUAGAGAAGGAUUGAAUUACAUUGUAAUUCCAAUUGACUAGGUUCUUUGAAUAAACUUCUACAUUAGCUUGGGUAGCUAUGACAUAUGGUUAGAUGUCACUCAUAGCUUGUGAGUUCUUCUAGAUGAUUAGAUGUAGUCGUCAAAGAAGAAAGGUGAAUUAAAAUGAGGUUUUAAUUCACUAAGUGAUUGACUUAAAUAUAAGCAAUUGGAUUAAUGCCAAUCACCUCACUGCCUUGCUAAUUAGAACCUAAAAGAUUGUUCACCACAACACUAUUGUAGUGAGUAACUAAUGGAUGAUGGAAACAAUUAAUUGGAUUAAUUAUGUGUUGUGAUUAAUUUAGAAAAGUCUAAAGAAAUCAUAAAAGCGAUAAAGAUCGUUUUGGGCUUAAAGAAACGUUCGGGUUUAAUUAGGCCCAUUGGGCCUAAACCCAUUGGGCUUUUAUUCAAGCAUUGGAUGACUUGAAAUAACAAAAGCCCAAAGCCCAAAAAGAACACAAGAGGGCCGGCCAUAUUAUGUGGGUUUUGGAGAGAUAUUUAGUCAAGUGUUGACUAGGUUUUCUUUUUGUCUAUAUAAGCAACUUUAUAAGAUAUUGUUCAUUAGGGUUUUUGUGAGUUUUGAACAACAAAAGAGGCAAAAGAAAAUAGCUCUCUUGAACCACAAAAGCCGGCCACCAAAGGGGAGUUUUUACUAACAUCUCUUACACCCUUUUGGUUAUUCCUUCAUCCUUCUCACUACACUAGUGGGUGAGGAU
rnacentral:lncRNA from 1 species